rnacentral:rRNA from 1 species
UACGAAGGGGGCUAGCGUUGCUCGGAAUUACUGGGCGUAAAGCGCACGUAGGCGGCUUUCUAAGUCGGGGGUGAAAUCCUGGAGCUCAACUCCAGAACUGCCUUCGAUACUGGAGAGCUCGAGUCCGGGAGAGGUGAGUGGAACUGCGAGUGUAGAGGUGAAAUUCGUAGAUAUUGGGAAGAACACCGGUGGCGAAGGCGGCUCACUGGCUCGUUUCUGACGCUCAGGCGCGACAGCGUGGGGAUCAAACAGG